GGCCCCUCCUCCCCUCCCGCUCUCUCUUGCUGCCUCAGCUCUCAUUGGAAAAGCGGCGAGUGGCGGCGCCGGCCAAUCGCCUCGCACGCACGGCGCGCGGCGUCGGAGGGGAGGCGGGAGGGGAGGGAGAGGCGCCGCCCUCGCUAGGGACGGGAGGCGGCGGCGCAUUGGUCCAGGCGGGUGUCAGCUUGGCCCUCCCGCCUGUUGUCGGGCUGCCUCCCCGUAUUCUCAAUAUUUGGGGGUUGGUUGCGCCAAGGCGGGUGGGGGGGGGGGGAGAAAUUGGGUUGAGCUGCAAAAGCACUAGAGGUGGAGGGAAAGGAGGUCGGCGGCGAACUCCUCCGCCAGAUGCACUUCGUAACCUUCCGCGCGGGAAUUGUCUCUCUCUCUCUCAGCGAGAAAUAGGCCCCACGUCCUAAAAGCAGCAGAGCACAACACAGUUACAUACAGUUUCUCAGCUCACCUUAAUAAAGAUAAAGACAUAUUAUAAACACAAUAUGCCACAAAACAAUCCGUUCCCGCCCCCCUCAGCCUGGCCCCGCACACGCCCAACAUCACACCUGUGUGUGAGAUCUUAGAACAGCCCUUUGCUUAACCUUGAGACUGAGCUGAGAGAAGCAUCAAGGCUGCCUUUUUAUAGAAAUGGCCUUGUCCUCUAGAGCACUAUUCUUCAACCUUUGGUCUCCAGAAGCUGUUAGACUACAACUCUCCUCGUCCCUGAGCAUUGGCAAAGAUAACUGAAGAUGAUGGAAGGAUGAAGUUAAUACUCAGCACAAUAUCUGAAUGACACAGACAGGAAGAUAAGAAUAAGCCAAUUUACUGUACGAUCAGUCAGUUAUUGCAAUACAGUCUGCUUCCGAUUUAUACUAUGUAAAAAAGGGCUAGGGCUAAUUAAGCAUAUGUUUGUUCAGAUUAGGGCCUAA